CCUCCUUGUACACGACUAACGUAGACAACAUUUUCUUUCAGAAAAAAGGCUAUAUAUGAAUUUCGUAAUAUAAUUUUUGGGAGAAAAACAAAAUCAAAGAAAAUUGAAAUAAUGAAAUCGGUAACGCCGUAAAUAUUUAGAUCAAGUGGAAAUUUAACACAAUGGUGGUCGACCCUAUGAUGUGAACCAGUCUUUACAAAAAUUUGUAAAUCCCUGGUGUAGGUUAAGAAGAAUAAGAAAAAAGAAUAUAAGAGUAUAUGUUUAGAUUUUUCUAGAAAAUGUUAACAUAAUAUUUUGGCUUUUUUAAUCAUAAAAAUCUGGACCCUAGUUAUCAGAAUUGAAUUAAAAAAUUAAAACUAGAAAGACUAUACGAUUUUAUAAACAAAUUAGCGUCCCUUAGAGUUAUUGCAAUUAACCUAACCCG